AAGUCGUAACAAGGUUUCCGUAGGUGAACCUGCGGAAGGAUCAUCAACAAAUCAAUUUAUGCUGGAGAAUCCGGCAUAUAUACCAAUGUGAAUUGGGAUGCUUUAGGGCGUCUCUGUGAUUUUUGUUCUGUGGAACAAAAAUAUAAGCGAGUCUAUAUGAGUCUGAUUAAAAACAUUAAUCAAAACAACUUUUAACAAUGGAUCUCUUGGCUCUU
rnacentral:misc_RNA from 1 species